UACGGGGGGGGCAAGCGUUGUUCGGAAUUACUGGGCGUAAAGGGCUCGUAGGCGGCCAACUAAGUCAGACGUGAAAUCCCUCGGCUUAACCGGGGAACUGCGUCUGAUACUGGGCGGCUUGAAUUCGGGAGAGGGAUGCAGAAUUCCAGGUGUAGCGGUGAAAUGCGUAGAUAUCUGGAGGAAUACCGGUGGCGAAGGCGGCAUCCUGGACCGAUAUUGACACUGAUGAGCGAAAGCUAGGGGAGCAAACGGG
rnacentral:rRNA from 1 species